GGGGAAUAUUGCACAAUGGGCGGAAGCCUGAUGCAGCGACGCCGCGUGAGGGAUGACGGCCUUCGGGUUGUAAACCUCUUUCAGUAGGGAAGAAGCGAGAGUGACGGUACCUGCAGAAGAAGCGCCGGCUAACUACGUGCCAGCAGCCGCGGUAAUACGUAGGGCGCAAGCGUUGUCCGGAAUUAUUGGGCGUAAAGAGCUCGUAGGCGGUUUGUCGCGUCUGCUGUGAAAGCCCGGGGCUCAACCCCGGGUCUGCAGUGGGUACGGGCAGACUAGAGUGCAGUAGGGGAGACUGGAAUUCCUGGUGUAGCGGUGAAAUGCGCAGAUAUCAGGAGGAACACCGAUGGCGAAGGCAGGUCUCUGGGCUGUUACUGACGCUGAGGAGCGAAAGCAUGGGGAGCGAAC
rnacentral:rRNA from 1 species